GCUUAACCUAUCUUCGAGGCUUCCAUUAGAGAGGUAUUCGUAGAUGAGAACCCAAGCUUCAGGACAGGCACCAAUGAGCGUGACAAGAUUGGGAUGUCUCAUCUUACUCAAUACAUUAACCUCUUGUUGAAAUUCAGAGGGGCCUUGAGAGCUAUCAGAAUGUAGAAUUUUUAUAGCCACCAUAGUAUGACGCAAGUUACCUCGGAAUAUACUUCCAUAUCCCCCUUCUCCAAG
rnacentral:misc_RNA from 1 species